UACGGAGGGGGCUAGCGUUGUUCGGAAUUACUGGGCGUAAAGCGCACGUAGGCGGCUGUUCAAGUCAGAGGUGAAAGCCUGGAGCUCAACUCCAGAACCGCCUUUGAAACUAGACAGCUAGAAUCAUGGAGAGGUGAGUGGAAUUCCGAGUGUAGAGGUGAAAUGCGUAGAUAUCAGGAGGAACACCUGUGGCGAAAGCGGCUCACUGGACCAUAACUGACGCUGAUG
rnacentral:rRNA from 1 species